rnacentral:rRNA from 1 species
GACGAACCGUGCGACCGUUGUUCGGAAUUACUGGGCGUAAAGGGCGCGUAGGCGGCUCAUCAAGUCGGGCGUAAAAUCUCCGGGCUUAACCUGGAAAAGUCGUUCGAUACUGUUGGGCUAGAGUGUGGAAGAGGCUACUGGAAUUCCGUGUGUAGCGGUGAAAUGCGUAGAUAUGCGGAGGAACACCGAUGGCGAAGGCAAUCCCCUGGGCCUGCACUGACGCUCAUGCACGAAAGCGUGGGGAGCAAACAGG